AUUUAGUUUUCACUAUAUAUAAAUUUAUUUUUAAAACUGCUAACUGCUCAUAUUUGCAGUUUUAUAGAAUCCCAAAAAUCACACAUAUCACCUUUUUAAUAGAAUUUCAUUUGUUUAAGAACUUCUUCAUCAAGAGAACUCAGAUUGUCUCGUCGAACCAACUUCUAUAGCACAAACAAACUGAAGAAAAAGAAAUAAACAUCAGGUUGUACCCUCAACUGAAUAGGUGCACAGUAUGAACGACGAUGGUAGAAAUUUUGUAGUCAAUUUGAAGGCUAAAACAUGUAGCUGUGGCAGGUUUCAAUAUGAAAAAUACCAUAUGAAAAUGUUUGGAUUGUAUUAAAUAAGAGGAGUCUAAUACCUUAUGAAUAUUGCUCUGACUUAUACAAAUCAAAGAAAACGUUAAAGAUUUAUGAGUUACCAA